AUCUUUUUGAAAAUAUCAAGACUAUUCAUGGUGCAGAAUUUACAUCAGAGACCCAUGGAAUGUCUGCAGAUGUUAUCAACAAAGCAUUUUUAGCAACAGAAGAGGCAUUUCUCUCUCUAGUACAGCAGCAGUGGCAAAUAAAGCCACAAAUUGCUUCUGUUGGUUCAUGUUGUUUGGUAGGUAUAGUGUAUAGUGGACAUCUAUACAUUGCAAAUGCAGGGGAUUCU
rnacentral:misc_RNA from 1 species